rnacentral:rRNA from 1 species
CCUACGGGUGGCAGCAGUGGGGGAUAUUGCACAAUGGGGGAAACCCUGAUGCAGCGACGCCGCGUGGGUGAAGAAGCGCUUCGGCGCGUAAAGCCCUGUCAGCAGGGAAGAUAAUGACGGUAUCUGAAGAAGAAGCACCGGCUAACUACGUGCCAGCAGCCGCGGUAAUACGGAGGGGGCAAGCGUUAUCCGGAUUCACUGGGGGUAAAGGGGGCGGAGGCGGGGAAGCAAGCCAGGUGUGAAAUCCUAUGGCUUAACCACAGAACUGCACUUGAAACUGCGUGUCUAGAGUGCAGGAGGGGUAGGCGGAAUUCCUGGUGUAGGGGUAAAAUGCGUAGAGAUCAGGAGGAAUACUGGUUGCGAAGGCGACCUGCUGGACUGCAACUGACGUUGAGGCGCGAAAGCGUGGGGAGCAAACAGGAUUAGAUACCCGUGUAGUC